CUUUUCACUCGAAUAAGAAUAAGAAUAAGAACUUAUUCUUAUUCUUAUUCUUAUUCUUAUUCGAGUGAAAAG